AGUCGCUCGAUGUCUUUUCACCUGCAAUUUUGUACUACAACAAGGAAUCUACAGCCAAACCUCCUUCUUCCUACUCUAGUGGAAUCAUUAAUGAUGGAGAAGAAGGAAAGCAGCAGCUCAGUCACAGCGAAAGCAAAGGCCUGAGCCAGCAAAAAAACAAACAGGAAAAAAAAACAGAGCAAAGAGAGGGAGGGAGAACUUGAAGAAAAGGUAAAAGUAGGUUUUCUACCUGGAUCAGAAAGUGAUGGACUGUUUCUUCAUGUUAGGCAGCAUUUAACUUCGUCAAUAUUUUUUUAUCCUUGAAGUGUCUUCUUCUUCCUUUUUUUUUGUUUUUUUCCCUCCUCCUUCUUCUUCUUCUUCUUCCACCAGUGAAUUACCGAUGGCUGCAGAAGUCCAAUAGUUUCUUUCUCCCUUCCACAAUCUCAUCGAAGAAAUCGUCCAUUUGCCCGAGGAGAUUCUCAGUUCCAGAUCGCAGCAUCGCAAACCAAGCUUUCAAUCCCUCCGCCUUCUCCAUUAUGUCUCCUCCGGCGAAGUCUAGCUCACAUCCGGCUCUCUCUAGCUCUUCUUGCAACUCAUCGGCGAACGUCCGCGCCUGCCGGAACUCGUACAUGAGGAUCCCAGGCCUUCCGGACAGUCUUUCCAUCUCUCCGACCACCCUCUGCUGCAGCCUCGUCAUGGAGACGGCGAAGACGGAGCUGCAGAGUGUGGAGGCUUCCAUGACGGCCAAUACCGACGAGCAGAAGACCGACCCCCAUAGCAGGAUCAUUAGCAGCAGCGAGCUGGCGUUCCUCAGCGCAUAGAGCGCCCCCCGGAAGCCAUGGAAUCCGUUGUACCUGGAUUCCAUCGGCACGCGGUCGUCGAUCCGGAGUGACGCCGGCUCGACCCUCGUCUCCGCCAGCACUCUGUUCUCCUCCUCCAACCCGGUAGCUUCUCUCCGGCAGAUAGAGAUCGCGCGCAUCACCUUCACCGAGCAGGCAGAGGAGGCGAUUAAUUAGUAUUGCAUCUUUGAGCGACAUAGAAAACGAAGGGAAGAUCAUCAGCAGACCUGGCGAGCGAGGCGAGGAUUGGGUCCGUGCUGCCGCCAUUGGUCUAUCGAGGAGACUACGUCAGCGCCGGUGGAGCAGUAGCUCUCUACGCCGGAUAUACCGAGCUUGAUGACAUGGCAAACGUCCCAAAGGCGUGAGCUUUCAUCCAUGUACUCGUCGAGCCACUUGCCGCCGGCGGGGAGGUGGAGCUUCUGAACCAGGCAAAUUAGCUGCGAGUGGAGCGAGCGGAGAAGGGCGAUGACACGCUGCAGGAAAUGGAGGGACAUGAAGGCGUCCGAGGCCAGCGACUGGUCGAGCUCGUCGAGGCCGUGAGUGAGAAAAGAGAAGAAGCUAUUGACGGCGCCAGAUGAAGGCUUCAUGGUUGCUUGGGUAAAGGAGGCGAGGGAGGAAGGGAGGAGUUUAUAGGCAGUGGAUCUCAGCCUCCUGAGAGAUUAAGAAGAAGAAGAGGAGGAGGAGAAUGCAAUGAUGGCAAGUGUCUGCCGUGGGGGGAGAAGGAUGAUUGGGAAUCUGCCAUGAUGCAUACUUGUUUAGUGGCAGAAAGAGGAGCAUGUCAUGGAAUCUGCCAAAACUAGCGAGCUCCAGAGUGAGUUCGAUCACAUUCAUUGCUCCUAGCUCUCUUAUUCCUCUACCUCUAAAGAAGAGAGACUCUGCUCCACUGGUCAUGGCACAACAACGCUCUCCAUGGCUCCGUGACAGCUGCUUCCGCUGCCCCUCGAAUCGUCCUCGUACAAGGAGCUGAGCCGCAGCAUCUGCGACUGUGCGUGUGGGAAGCGCAGUUCCAUGCUUUGACUGGCUGCGAUCGAGUUCUCGGCUUCCAUAAAAGACAAAAACAAAAAAAAAAAUGGAGCCGAAGUGGAACGAGGGCCCUUCCGAUUCAAGUGCUCUGUUUUUGUCGUCACUCUUCUGCCUUCCUCGCGUCACUUUACCCAGACGCAGUAUAAUCGAUCACUGUAAAUGCCGACUGUUCGUCGUCCUCCGUCGCGCUGGACAAAACAUACAAAUCUUCUCAAGAGCAGCGGCAAUCUAAUCUCGUGGAGGAAUGGGAGGAGGAGGUGCCAACACGCAGCCAGUACUAGUCCCCAUGCUUGGGUUUCGCUCAUUCGGAACAGGGGAAUGAUGGGUUUCCUUGUACCCACCCAAAUCUCUCUAUCUUCCCCCAUCAUGCUCCUCCCUUUUUCCACCCUCGAAGACUGCAACAGUCCGCCUAAUUGCCUGCGCUCGUGGGUUCUCGGACGACGAGACGAGACGAGACGAUCUAAAGAGCAUGUUGGUCUUUUCAGAUUCAUU